rnacentral:tRNA from 1 species
AGAAGUAUAGUUAAAUUAUAAUAUUAAUUUGUCAAGUUAAAGAUAGGAAAAUUCCUCAAUUAAUA